rnacentral:tRNA from 1 species
UUUGGGGUAGUUUAUAUAGAACGUUCUGUUGUUACCAGGAAAGAAUAAUACCCAAAAA